rnacentral:rRNA from 1 species
CGCCUUGCCAGCCCGCUCAGAAACUUAAAGGAAUUGACGGGGCCGCACAAGCGGUGGAGUAUGUGGUUUAAUUCGAUGCAACGCGAAGAACCUUACCUGGUCUUGACAUCCCGGAGACCCUUAGGAAACUAGGGGGUGCUUCCAUCUGGAAGAAUCUGGAGACAGGUGCUGCAUGGCUGUCGUCAGCUCGUGUCGUGAGAUGUUGGGUUAAGUCCCGCAACGAGCGCAACCCUUGCCUUUAGUUGCCAGCAGUUCGGCUGGGCACUCUAAAGGGACUGCCGGUGUUAAACCGGAGGAAGGUGGGGAUGACGUCAAGUCCUCAUGGCCUUUAUGACCAGGGCUACACACGUACUACAAUGGCCGAUACAAAGGGCAGCGACACUGCGAGGUGAAGCCAAUCCCGUAAAAUCGGUCUCAGUCCGGAUUGGAGUCUGCAACUCGACUCCAUGAAGUUGGAAUCGCUAGUAAUCGUGGAUCAGCAUGCCACGGUGAAUACGUUCCCGGGCCUU